rnacentral:rRNA from 1 species
GACGAACGCUGGCGGCGUGCCUAAUACAUGCAAGUAGAACGCUGAAGGAGGAGCUUGCUUCUCCGGAUGAGUUGCGAACGGGUGAGUAACGCGUAGGUAACCUGCCUGGUAGCGGGGGAUAACUAUUGGAAACGAUAGCUAAUACCGCAUAAGAGUAGAUGUCGCAUGACAUUUGCUUAAAAGGUGCAACUGCACCACUACCAGAUGGACCUGCGUUGUAUUAGCUAGUUGGUGAGGUAACGGCUCACCAAGGCAACGAUACAUAGCCGACCUGAGAGGGGGAUCGGCCACCCUGGGACGGAGAAACGGCCCAGACUCCUAAGGGAGGCAGCAGUGGGGAAUUUUCGGCAAUGGACGGAAGUCUGACCGAGCAACGCCGCGUGAGUGAAGAAGGUUUUCGGAUCGUAAAGCUCUUUUGUAAGGGAAAAACGAGUGGGGGGGUGGAAAGUUCACACUGGGGCGGUAUUUUACCAGAAAGGGAGGGCAAACUACG